AGCCACUCCUCUGUUAGAACUACAACCAAACAAUGCUCGGCGAUCGCGGCAGCUGCUCUCCAAAUGUCAGCGCCAAGCCCGGCCAAAGGGCUGGAAGGCCACCGAGCCCAGGACUUUGUACGCUACCUUUGUCGCCCACAUUUUCCCCAAGCACUCUCAGGACCCUGGCAACAGGUAACGUGGCAACCUUUGCCUUCUAAAACGGCAAGCGGCAGGAUUUCAGAGAACAAAAGGAUUUUUUGAAAGCCAGCUGCAUCUCCCUCGCCACCCCCCUCCUCCUCCCCACGCCCUCCCCCUUCGCCACACCAAGUCUGAGAAAACAAAGUAUUGCUGCGGCAGCCCGGCUCUCGAGCGCCCCCUUGUGACCAAGCUCGGAACAUCACCGAUGUACCUUUCAAGGUACAACUUCAGUCCGAGGCUCGGCUCCCAGGCCGAAUGCCAUCCACACAAAAGAGCUCCUGUCGACAUCUCAUUUACAAUCUACCCCCAGGACACAGACAGGACCAUUUCAAUAAACCCGGCUCAGAAACACCUAUUGUUCAAAAUCUUCAACUAGCCACAGGCUACCACCACUCCCUAUUGUUUUGUAAAAGAAAAGAUUUAGAAGGAGCCAGAUUGGGACCUGGAAGCUCUGAAAGGAGGAAGGAAUAAAGUCCCUUUGACCCGAUGCUGUUGGAGAACGUGCAUGAAGAAUAAAGUUAAUGGAUUUUCAUUUUUACAAGAAGUGCAUAAGCAACGCCCGCUCCCUUCCUGAACUAGUGAUCGGGGAUUCUAAAAGUGGUGCCAACUUUGUAAAGAAGUUAACUCCUGCCAUCGGGUUUGGUACCUGAAAAGUCAAAGGCUCUACUUACCCUAUUCUCUGUCUUACAAAAGCCCUGAUGGCAGCCGCAGCAAAGCACCGGCUAGUAAGCCGGGUGUACCCCUGCUCCUGUGCAAAAGGCCUGUGAAACUCUGAAGCUAUACCUGUACACAGAUGUGAUCCGAUGAUGCCAUCUCAUCUCCAUGGCAACCAGGUGUCUCAGUUAUCUAGUCUGGUGCCAGGGCAUCGGAGACCUGCCACCACCAUGCUGUUCCCCGGUCACUCAGUUCCAAAUUUAUGAGAUUGCCUCAGUCCCUUAGGUAUUUGUUCUCUGAAAGAGUUGGAGACCCAGGUAAAGUUCAGAGCAGCUCGUAACCUGCCUGCAGCCAACGGCAUAUUCCAAAGUCCCUGGGACAUCUGCCUGCUUGGAGCCCUGAGCCACCACAGAAGCAUCCAAUUUUCCUGAGGCUGCCAUGCUGUAAGGAAGCCCAAGUCAGCCACGUGGAAAGACCACAUGAAGAAGCCUGGAGGCUCUUAGGAAGAGGGAGAGGUGUUCAGCAGCCCCCAGUGAUCCAGCCCUCCAGCCACCCAACUGCAAGCUCGGAAGAGACCCUGAGCCAGAACUACCCAGCCGAAGCUCUUCCCGAAUUCCUGCCCCAUAGAAACUGGGAAAUAAGAACACGAUUGCUGUGGUUUUAAGGCACUAAACAAAAAACUUAGAACACUGUCCCAAAACUAGUGAGUGGCAGAUAUGGGAUUCAAACCUAGGUUGGCUUGACAUUCUAUUACAUGAUCAUUAAUCAUUCUAUUACAUGAUUGCUUACAGCAGCCUUUUUAAAAAAUGGUGCUAAAAUAUAUGUAGCAUAAAACUUACCAUGUUAACCAUCUUUAAGUGUACAGUUCAAUAAGUACAUUCACACUGUUGUGCAACACAUCUCCAGACCCUUUUCAUCUUGCAAAACUGAAACUCUACCCAUUAAACAAGAGCUUCCCCUCCCUCACCCCCAGCCCCCGGAAACCACGCUUCUACUUUCUGUCUCUAUGAAUUUGACAACUCUA